CAAAUCCCUAAUUUUUUAACCAAAAAUCCCUUUCUCUCUCUCGCGCGACUGUGAGCACGGUAGACGAUGGCGUCGAGCGACGGGGUUAAGGAGCCUCACUCUUUUGUUUCUCACUCCGUUGGCUUUCCCUCUGCUGCUCUCAUUCCAGUGGCGAAGGAGCUGCUCAGGGACCACCGCAGCCAUUAAUAGCAGGCUCGAAGCUUUCAGCUUCAAGAACAUCGGUCCGCUCAGAUUCGCAUGAUUGAAGAGACUCUUCGAUUCGCCGGUGUUCCUGGUGAUUACAUCUGUGGCGGGUGGAUUUUGCUGCAUUCGUUCUUGGCGCAGAAUCCCUUGGACUUUGCCUGUCGAAGCCCUAGGGGUUACUAGAGAACAUGGACAAGGAUAGAAUCAAAAGGCUCGUACGGUUGAAACCUCCAACUGAAGUCUGAAGCGGAAUCUCCUCAACCCCUCUUAUCUAUUGAAAGAGGACAGUUGGGUCAAGGCUGUGUAUCAUUUUUGCAUGUCAUGGUUGGUGUAUUAUGAAACUCCAUGAACUUUUCUGUUCCUAUGCAUGAUUUUUUGGUGUUUAGAAACAGUUAUUGCAAUGCUCUUUUGUGUGUAUUUCUCACUUCAAAACCUGAAUUUGGGUUGAUGCUCUAUUUUAAUGUAUGUUUCUAUGAAAUACCGUGACCGUAUUGUUUAAGAUUUUGGACUCUAUGAAUUGGGAUGUUUCUUCUGUAUUUAAACCACUUCCACUGUAACCCUAACAUCCAUGACUUCCUAGAAUGGAACAGAAUAUUUUUAGUACUAGUUAGAGGCUGCAGCUAUUGCCAAAGCAUGGGAGGUCCAAAACAAGUGCUUUGACCAGUUGUGCAGCACAACUGAUUGAAGCACUAGUUGUAAUAACCUCUCUUGCUUCAGCUAUAGUCAUGGCUUUAUUUAGAGCAUACUCUUUAUACAUAAGCCAUCCAAACCAUUUAUAGAGAUUUCUAGAAGGCCUAAGCAUGACUCCCCUGUUGAAAUAUGUUUUGCCUCGCAUAGAAUUGUCUGCAUGACUUUUUACUUUUUGAAAGAACAAUCUUAUUUCUCAACAACCUCAAAGUUGGUACAGGAAGGUUGCACUUUAGACAUUAUUUUACUAGAUUGUAGAACUCUAGGUAGGUAAGUUAUUGAAAUUUUGUGGUAUUAUGGGUAGAUUAGGUGUAGUGGACAUCUCAAGUAUUGAAGAUUUUUUGCACUUUUUAUCAUGUACAACUGGAACCUCUGAAAAGUAAAAAAUUUGAUUAAAUUUCUUUUCUCCUAAUUUGUAGCUAUUCAUGAUGCCAAUUUACUCUUUAUGACUUGUAUAUCUUAAUCGUUUUGAAAUGCACAACUUUUGCCACUAUGUAUAGAUGCAUGCAAGUAAUCUUGGCCAUAUGUUUCAAAACCAGUGUUUAGUGUGGUAUUAACAGAGUGAGUUAUGUUGUUUUCAGAACCAGUGUUUUGUGUAUAUGUGUUUAUAUAUGUGUGUGUGUGUGUGUGUGUGCCUCUAUCAUAAAGAAUAAACCAAGAAGUAAUUUUACAUUGCAGAAUCCUUUCAGCCCCCAUAUGCAAGACCAUUCUCUAUUAUUUUCUUUCCCUUUUGUCUUCUUUUCUUUGUCUUAAAAAAAA